CAGAGGCAGGGCAGCUUUCUCAGCCCCCGAGCUCGCAAAGGUGACCCAGGGACAGACAAACUGUGCUGAAGUCAGAAAUCAACUGGCAUAUUCAGUCUGGAGGAAUCUCCCAGGGUACCAGUCGAAUGCAUUAAGAGUGUAUUUCUCCAGCAAGAAGUGAUGGGAAGAGCACAGAGCAAAAAGAAGAAAGAAGCAGGGAAGAAGAUGAAGAAAUAAUCUCUCGAAGGACGCAGUAAUACUACCAUCUAACUAAAAAGAAUUCAGACAUGCACACAAUCCUCAGGAAAAUUCAUCUCCACCCUCCCAACGGACUCUGGUGAGAGCCCUUGAAGCGGUAAUUAAAGUCUAUUGAGUGGCAACUGCACCUGUUUAGAAAGGCGAAUGUGGGUAAGAGGUGCACAAAGGGAGAUGAGCAGCAGAGAAGGAGUGUGAGAGGAGCAGCUGGAGGUGGGGAAGGGAAGUGGUAAGAGGA
rnacentral:lncRNA from 1 species